rnacentral:lncRNA from 1 species
CUUUCGGCCCAUGAUACCGACUGGUACUUCUUCAUAAGAGAAGUCCUCUUAGAGUGGAAGCAGUUCAUGAGCCAAGACAUGAGAAGGGUACGGGUUGUACUUACGUAGCAUGGAUACGUGGAACACAUUGUGGACUCUAGAGAGCUCUGGAGGCAGUGCUAGUCUGUAGGCAGUAGUACCAAUCAUGUCUAAGAUUUCAAAGGGUCCAAUAUAUCGGGGGUUUAAUUUUCUCCUCCUGCCGAACCUACUAAUCCCUUGAAAUGAGUGACCUUAAGAACCAUCCGGUCGCCUUUCUCAAACGCUAGGUCUCUCCUCCAGGUGUCUGCAUAACUCU